GGAGAAACUGCAAUGAGAUCCUAAUGGAACGUCUCCUGUCCUUUAAUGAACCUAAAACAUUCUGUUCACCACCUCACCGAUUCUCCUCAAAUUUAAUCUAGUGUGCUUUCCAUUAGCACAUGGUGGGAUUUAUAAUCACUGCAUGCAUAUUUUGUUCCUUCUCCUUUCUACAGACCAUUUUUCUAAUGUACUUUUGGGUGAAGGGUCGGAUCUCAGCAGAGAAACUGUUUAACCGUUUAUAACUCCCUCUUUUUGCCUAUUCAUUGACCCUGACAUCGCAGUGUACUGAUCAGCAGAACUCAGUGGACCAAUUGUUGCACUUUGACCAUUCAGACUCGUUAUACAGAUGUUAAGUGAUGCUCCGGCCAAAUAUCAAAAUUACCCCAUGAUCCUUUACAGAAGUAAUCCACAUGUUUUCAGGGGGUUAAUAAAGGUCUUCUGUGGGUAAUCGAUUAGAUUUUGUAAGAAAAAGAUCCAUAUUUUAAACACUAUAAUAGCUUACGGUAACAAAUUGCUAUCAUGGACUCACGCGAUUCACGGAUUCACUGCGCAACGUACCCAUGGCAACGAACGUUCACUACGCUAAAACUCUCUCUCGUGAAUCGCGGAAACCGUAAACAUGGCAUGUGAUAUGACUGCAAGCGCAGUGGGCUGACAGAUGCUGGUUCACGAGGUUUAUAUGAAGGGCAUGAGGCGCAAAGCCCCAUAGAUGACGACAUGAUAACUGAUUCUGAGUGAUGACAUCACACCAGCUAAUUUGUAAAAGUGUCUUGCACCCAAAUGGAGGUUUGGAAAGGAAAAAGUGUCUCACACCAGGAAUGAAAGAUGAAAUGGUGAUAGGUUUCUUCACCUAAAGGAAAAUGACAGGUACAUGCGGCCACCUUUUUGGCUUCCCAGACGUGACACUGUCUUCUCCACUGAAAUAAAGCCAUGCCAGACAGACAUGGGAGACGGAAAGCAUUUGGCGGACACUUUCAUCCAUACUUAUAGUGCAUUCAAGAUAUCUGAAGGGCAAACUGAGAUACAGUCUCUCGGGAUUAAGUCAUCCUUUGCCUCCAGAAACAGAAAAACAUUGGUGACACUGAGAAAAAUCAACAAGAUAUGGAAACAAUUAGGUGUUGAGACCUUGACUCCUAACACAGUGUUUGACUGCAUGGUUAGGGUGACCAUAUUUUCCCUGGACACAUCAUGGUCAG